rfam:Schistosoma mansoni strain Puerto Rico chromosome 6, complete genome
AUCCAGCUGAUGAGCCUCGAAUAGGACGAAACGCGCGUCCUGGAU